GUCGGCUGAUCGGAACUCCUGCGGUUCAGGAUCCUGAACAGCCCCCCCAGCCCCCUUUAUCGUGGGCCGGUCGGCCGACAGAAGACCCUCUAAGUACACUGUAGCAGACAGUUCGAGACCCCGCGUGGCGCCCCCUCUCCACGCGGGGU
rnacentral:sRNA from 1 species